UACGUAGGGGGCGAGCGUUGUCCGGAAUUACUGGGCGUAAAGCGCGCGUAGGCGGCCCGGCGCAUCUGCAGUGAAAGCCCUGGGCUCAACCCAGGGAGGCCUGUGGAGAUGGCCGGGCUGGAGGGCAGUAGAGGCAAGCGGAAGUCCCGAAGUAGUGGUGAAAUGCGUAGAGAUCGGGAGGAACACCCGAGGCGAAGGCGGCUUGCUGGGCUGCGCCUGACGCUGAGGCGCGAAAGCUAGGGGAGCGAACGGA
rnacentral:rRNA from 1 species